ensembl:lncRNA
GCUCUGCUGACCCACCUGCUCUGUCCUCCCCUCUCCUGCACUCUGGAUCCAGCCCUGACCAGACCUCCCCCCUGCCUCCCUCACCUUGGACCUCCUGCCUGCUCCUGGUGGAGGGUCUCUGCCUGCCGUGUGCCCCCUUUGGCUCCGGAAAACACCCCGCCUGUCGCCCCCCGAUGGAACGAGGCCCUCCUGCCCGCUCUCCACUGCCGAUCCACCCCACGGAGGACGCCAACCGGGCCGCCGGUUCCUGAUGAAACAGGAAGUACCGUCCAACUUGGUUGAUGAGUUACCAUCUCCCCGAUGAGCCCUGGAGUAUCUGAAACGUCUCAGCAGGAGCCCAGUGCCGUCCUGGCAGCAGCAGAAACUCUCUCUCUCUCUCUCUCUCUCUCAGGUUGGACAGCUUGUUCAAGUCGAAUGCUAUUAGUUGUGGGUCAGCGCCUGGGCUUUCUCUACACCCCAACAACACCUUUUCACCAGCCAGGGAUUCCAGCCACCAUUAAUCAGAGUGGUGACAGCCCAUGGAUCUGACGGGGGGAUGAGAGCUGGCCACCGUCGAGGCUGCUGUGAGCGUUCAGAGGGUGACGUGUCGGCAGAGGGCCAGUUGGAGAGGAGGGUGGCCGUCUCAGAUACCUGCUGGUGUCCAGAGACAGCUGUAACGUAGCCACCCGUGGUCCAGCAAUCAGGUUGGUGGCCGCUGAAUGCUGAUAAAGCCGCUUUUCUCGGCCUGGCAGACGGAGCUGAGGCAUUUCUCAAGAAGAUAAAGUCAGACCGGAGCCAGAGGAGUAAACAGGGAGCGGGAGGAGACACGACAAAGAGAAGCGAGAGGCCGAGAUGAGGAGAUAAACCGAGACAGAGAACAAAUGGUGACCUUUGCAGAGAUGGAUUUGUUUACCAACAAAUGUUCUGGCUGUCAACACCUGCUCCAGAGUGACCUUCACAUGGAGACGGAGCCGACGUCUCUCAUCUGUUCAUCUCUGCAGCCUCUCAUCAAGUCUGAUCAGCUCAGCCUGUUUCUGAGCUCCUUUAUUCUGCUGCAUUCAGUCAGGUUCCAGCUGUCAGCAUGGAGGCCCAAACCUGUAGAAAGAUCGAAGAAUACGUUAGGAGUUAAUCCUUGUGUCGUCCUGCAGGUCAAAUUGACCCGUUUUAAAGUUUGAAAAUGUGGAAAAAAAAAAUCUAUUUUCACAGUGAAACUUCUGAUGUCCACAUUUUCAACAUUUUUGGGAAAUCUUUGAAUAUUUUUUGGUGGAAAAAAUAAAUGUUAAACAUGUUUAAGAACAAUCACAAAACAGCAAAUGAUUAAAAUCAUGUUAAAACCAGAACCACCUAAUGCAUUAUUAAAUACAUUUUUAAUUUUAAAGAAUUCUAUUGUUUUUUAAACAUAUUUUUUGCUUCUCAUAGUGUUCUUUUAUGGGAUUUUAUUUUAUUUGUUUUAACCGUGUGGUAUGUGUUCUGUUAGAGCAAAUGUUUGGAUUUUGCCGCACAUAAAAACUUGUCAUCUGUCUUCCCUCAGGAUUAAUAAAGCAUCUAUCUAUCUAUCUGUCUAUCUGUCUGUCUGUCUGUCUGUCCAUCCGUCUAUCUAAAAUUGUCUUGCUUUGCCUGCUGGAGAAUUAAAAGUUCUCUCUACAGUCAUAGCUGACAGUUUUCACAUUAAGGUGAUGCAACCGUCCUGCAGUCAG